rnacentral:rRNA from 1 species
CCUACGGGGGGCAGCAGUGGGGAAUAUUGCACAAUGGGCGCAAGCCUGAUGCAGCCAUGCCGCGUGUGUGAAGAAGGCCUUCGGGUUGUAAAGCACUUUCAGCGGGGAGGAAGGCGGUGAGGUUAAUACCCUCAUCGAUUGACGUUAGCCGCAGAAGAAGCACCGGCUAACUCCGUGCCAGCAGCCGCGGUAAUACGGAGGGUGCAAGCGUUAAUCGGAAUUACUGGGCGUAAAGCGCACGCAGGCGGUCUGUCAAGUCGGAUGUGAAAUCCCCGGGCUCAACCUGGGAACUGCAUUCGAAACGGGCAGGCUAGAGUCUUGUAGAGGGGGGUAGAAUUCCAGGUGUAGCGGUGAAAUGCGUAGAGAUCUGGAGGAAUACCGGUGGCGAAGGCGGCCCCCUGGACAAAGACUGACGCUCAGGUGCGAAAGCGUGGGGAGCAAACAGGAUUAGAUACCCCAGUAGUC